CCCGAAGCACUUCGGAAAUUUCCAAGCCGAUGGGGAGGGGAGAGGAGCCCCUCCCUCCGAGGGGGCGCGUCCUUGGAGAGCCCCCAGGAAAGGAAUUCGGAAUAGAAUAGCGGACGAGGGAAGCGGAGGGCCAGAGAGGACAAAGAGGUAGAGCGAAGUGUGAACGCCAUUGGGGAAUAAAGUGAUACGAAGCCGUUUCUUGUGUGACGUGCAACGCCACCAAGCCAGCUUGCUUUGGAUAUAAUUGCGAGUAAGAAUUCUCUCUCUCUCAUUCCCACAUUAGAAAAAAAAUACAAUUACAAAUGACAUUUGGGGGAGGUGGGGUCGUCCCCCCCAAGGACUGUUGUGGGCGUUGCU